GAUACAUAAGUGCACUCCCUGGCAAACUGAUGUAUCCCCCCUUCUUCCCGUGAACUUGUGGUUUUGUUUUCUCCCCCGUUCUGGCAAGUGCGUGCCUGGCGUACGCACUGUCGCCUGCCUUUAAGGGAUAAAUAUUCUGGGAAAGAGCGCAGACGCUACCAGGAUGAGAAUUCCCUGGGAAGUUGCAUAGCCUCGCCGGCGCCCUGGAGACCGCGGUGGGAGUUCAACGAAGUCAUGCUCCCCUUGUCCCCCACUUUGCCUCUCUGUUCCUGGGGUACUGGAACCUCGGCUGCCACACUCCGUCUACCAUCCUGAGCUCCAAGCCUGAGCUUGUAGCCAUCCAUACACUUAGGGUUGAUUUACCCUAAAAUAGUACUUAAGUGUUGGAGAUUCUUUUCACCUGUGCGCCAAAGUGCGUCGGUGUUGGCCUUAACAGGGAAAUCUGUUAAGCAAGGGCGCCACCUAGCUUGUCCUUUUCUCUCUUUGCCCUUCAUUCGUUCAUUUAGAGAGCGUCAGCGUGAAACAGUAGGCUGGAGAAGCAACAGGGCAGGAUGCCAUUUAAAGAUGUAAUCUGUCCACUCCAGUGAUUCCAGCGCUAUUUACAUGACAACGUUUGUCACACUUUAUGGGGAAAACUCCUUUUUUGAAUCAUUCCACUUAUGUAGUGGCUGCAUGUUUUAAAAUGAUAGAUUAGGGAUGUUACAUACUGUUUGGGGCUUCCCAGGGGGCGCGAGUGGUGAAGGGCCUGCAUGCCAAUGGCAGGAGACAUAGGAAACACUGAUUCCACCCCUGGAUUGGGAAGUUCCCCUGGAGGAGGAAAUGGCAACCCACUCCAGUAUUCUCUCCUGGAGAAUCCCAUGGACAGAGGAGCCUGGCAGGCUACAGUCCAUGGGGUCGCAAAGAGUCAGACACGACUGAAGGGACUUAGCACACGUGUAUGCUGUUUUACAUUACUCUCUGAUAAAACACUUUGUUCCCGUAAAGAACCAUCUUAUCCAAUUUCUAACCCAUGCUUUAAACAUGUUCACAGGAUGAUGGUUUCUUCACCUGUACCUUUGGAAUGUUUCCAGUGCCUACUUCAUAAGGCUGUUGUGAAGAUUACAUGGCUUAGAACAUGCAAAGCUCCAAAAAGUGUCUCAUGUACAGUAAGCACUCAUGCAGCAUCUACACGGUCCACCACGGUGUAUAUCCCUAUGCUGCCAUCGUCAAAACCCACAAUGAUGUUCAGGUGCCGCUGGGAGAGG